CAGUAGCGUAUAUUAAAGUUGUUGCAGUUAAAAAGCUCGUAGUUGGAUUUCUGGUUUGGAGCGUCUGGCCCGCGCACUACAAGUGCUGUGAGUGCUGGUUGCGCCUACCAUCUUUCGGAUGUGCUCAUCUGCCAUUGAUUUGGUUGGAUGCGGUGUGUUCGGACUUUUACUUUGAAAAAAUUAGAGUGUUCAAAGCAGGCUUACGCUGUGAAUACAUUAGCAUGGAAUAAUAAUAUAGGACUUUGGUUCUAUUUUGUUGGUUUCUAGGACUGAAGUAAUGAUUGAUAGGGAUAGUUGGGGGUGCUAGUAUUCAACGGCCAGAGGUGAAAUUCUUGGAUUCGUUGAAGACUAACUUAUGCGAAANCANNNACCAAGGAUGUCUUCUUNAA
rnacentral:rRNA from 1 species